UCUCCCUCCUUUCAGCUUUGAAGCACUGAGGACUGAGUCAAACACGCAUUUCCAGCAGUUGAUGGGGAGAGGAUUCCCUGGGGAGGCUUUGCUCAUUCUUUCCUCCUUACCACAUCCUGGGCAGGGGCUGUUGUGACCUUGAGGGACAGAGCCCACACGGCCUAAACCAAAAACUCUGGGCCCAGAAACGGACAGACAAAUAAGGACAAAACAUCUCAAAUCUGGACCAUCCUGGAAAACCUGGAAACUGAUCACUUGAGCUGCAGCCAGGCACGCACGCACGCACGCACGCCCACACAUGCACGCGCACCCGCGCGCACACAUGCACGCGUCACAUGCACGCGCACGCACACAUGCUCACGCACACAGAGUCGUCAGACAAAUGAUACGCAGGCGGAUGUCAUCCCUCCUUGUGACAAUAGGAGACACGGCAGUGCAUGGACAAGACCCAGCAAGGCCAUUUUCCCCACAGGCCUCCCUGCUGGAAUAUUUAUAACGCGUACUCCCAUUCUCAUCCUUGGGAUUCCUCUAUUCAACCAUGAACUUUGACCCUGGCCAUAAAUGCAAAAGAAUAAACAAAGGGGUUUCUGGAAUAAGGAAGGAAGAUAGAGUGAAUCAGACCCUUUCCCGUGUUCCUCUAAAAAUGAAUACACUACGCACACAACCUCUGAGUGACAUUAAGUGCUUUAUGUUUCCUCAGAGGACUCUUACAUCCAUUGGUUGACUGGAUUUCAGCCCAAUGCGGCACAUAUCCUUAUCCCUACUUGUAGCAGUUGAGAUUCUUAGCCAAACAGCAGAACCCAUCCAGGUAGCUUAAGUAGAAAAGGCAUUUAUUAAAAAUGAGAAGUCUCUUACAGAAUCUCCACAAGGGCCGAAGAGUCAGGCUUGCAGUCACCAAGAUCAGUGGCGCAGGUUGCAUACUGCACAACACCAGGACCCUUGAAGAGGCACUACUCCCACCUAGACAGACCUGUAUGUUUGUUGUAACAGACACUAGGUUUGUAUAUCACAGCCAUUUUCCAGCAGAUGGCAGUCAAGUGUUCAGAAGUGGUGCCCUAGUCACUAUUGCACAAAGUCCAAGGCCUGGAAGCCAGGAACAACCCCAGGGCGCGCUGUGCCACAUUGUUCCAGCGGAGAUCUGAUUGCUGCCGCUGCUAGGCAGAGACCCCACCGCUCAACCCUACUAACACCGGCCCGUGACCCCGGAGCGCCACCCCGUGGCCCACUCCCCACCACCCUGCUGCCCGAAGAAAACAGAUCCCACACAUCUGGACCUCCUCACCUUGCUCCCCGCCGCGUGGCACCCUGCGCCCGUGCAACGGACUACGACAGCUCAAGGCCCAUGCCUCGCGGCCUAACCGCAGGCCACCCGGGAAAGUAAGCCUCCAGCUUCCGCCUUGAGAGGGAAGGACUCAUGAUGCAUAUUCUCCAAAUAGGAAAAGAGUUCCAAUAAUGUGGCCUCAAAACACGCCACAUACCAACUGGUGUUCUGCAGAUGGGGGGCGGGCCCGAAGCCCGAAGCGGCCAGACGGAACGGCAUUCUGAGACGCAGAGAUGCAUUUUCAUUUCCUAAAGGCUGGGAUUUCCCACGAAGAUGGAGCUGCUAGUGGCUGGAGAGGAUUCCAGAGUCUCCCUCCCCGUCUGCCUUCAGCCCAGCCUCUGCCCCGGGGACUGACCCAGAGCCUCUGUCCGCCCUGGAGCCCCCGUGUUCCCGGGCAGCCUUGCUCGGCUCCAUAGAAAGAAGGAGGUGACAUCUCAGAGAGCUGUCCUGGGGCUGGAGGAGGCCUGUGGAACACCAGCCCCGCCUGCCACUUAGUAGGUGUUCAAUCCACAUUGGUUUCCUUUUUUCUUUCCUCUCUGCCCCUUCAACGCCACGCAAAAUAAUUAUGCUUAUUUCUGUUUUUCA